UCCUCCAUGCUGACAGCUUGUCUGUAAUGAUUACUUGAUGUAGGACUACAAAGUUUUGCACCAGGGCCAUUCCAGCCCUUAGCUUCCUUCCUAUGUGUUUAUCUGAGGUCUUUGUUUGGACUCUAUUCAUUGUAAUGUAACGUGUUCCUAGCCUACUAUCUUGGAGUCUGUGUCUCUUAAUACCAAAUAAAAAUCUUCCCCAAGAGUUUAUUUCCUUGUGUAAACACUGCUCACCUCACUGUUUUAUAGGUAAUUGAAACAUAGCAGCUCAAGGUGCAUCUCAGACUUCCCAGCAUAGAGAGGACAAUGAACUGGGGGAGGGGCCGACUAACUUUCCCAGGAUUUCCUUCCUGUGUUUGUGUCUAUAAAUGCUUCUCUGUACACACAUCAUAUGUGCUCAAUGCCAGUGGAAGACAGAAGAGGGCAUCAGCGUCCUGGGAAGUGGAAUUACAAAUGACUCUGAGCCCCUCGAUGUGGUUACUGAGAACUCAAUUGGAGAACUGUGCGAGAGGAACAAGCACACAUAGCUACUGAGCCACUUCUCUAGCCCCAUCGGAAACAUUGUUCAUGGCAUAGUUUCCUCCUCAGCCCACAAAGAAUGGUAGAUAUGACUUUGGACAAAAUUGUUCUUUCUACAGCCUAUGAGAACUAUGUUCACAGAUCCCAAACCCAAACUUUCUCUCCAGUUAACCAAUAUUUUAUCAUCCUUACUUCAUCUAUUUUCUGUCUAUGUCUUAAAAAAAAAAGAACCGUUUCUGGUUAUAUUAUAGACAGAUUCUGAGAAGGAAUAUAUUUUAAAGUUGGGUCUGGGGAAUUAACACUGAGAUGAUUUUUCAUAAGCUUUACCAACAUUAUGACUUAGGCAUAAAGUAAUAAUUUUAAAUGCUCUGAAUAGUUUAUGAGGAGAAAAUGAGUUAGGUGCUGAAGGGAAAAGGCUGAAAUUGACAUUCUGUGUUGAAUUUCUCAUAGCUUGUACAUUGUCUAGAAGGACGUACUAUAAAAGUGCAAGGCAUAAUGUAAAAAUCUGAGUUGGGCACUGAUAUGACCAUGUGGGGACAGCCCUGGGGAUAUGGGCAGUACAUGCAAUGUGAGGAAAAGAGACUUUCUAAAGACAGGCAGUCACAGUGCCCAGGACUUCACCUGAGGAGGAGGACCUCUUUUUGCCAUCUGGUUUCUUAGCGCACACUCCCUGCCCUGCCCCCAUACAGCCCAACAAACACAAAAUGCAAGUGCUCGCUCUCCACUGCUCAUCUGCUGUGAUUCCCAGAAGAAGAUCUCACAGUGUGCAGAAUCAAAUUCAGGAAGCAGGAGGGAAGAUUAGAUUUCAAGAUGCAUCAGCAUUUUAUCCUGACUGUCAGAGACUAUUGAUGUUCCAAUCUGAAGAAAAGAAAAAUCUCAACUCAGAAAACUAUAUUCCAACAGGAAAUAUAUUACAAGACUACAAAGCAAUUACAUUUUAAAAGUCCAUUUUGAUGAAGAUUUAUAGGGAUAUAUAGUACUCUCUACUUGAGGCACUAAUUAUUCUGUCACAAACUUGAUGAGACUUAAUUGUGGUCAUUAUCGCAUUUCGUAUUAUUAAUUCUAAUGAAGAUAUCCAUAUCUACCUCCCUGUGUAGAGGGAUUUAUUUAAGAUCUAGUAGAGAUACAGAAAAUGGCCAUGGAGCAGCUGCUUAUAAAAUCCUCUAAGGGCCUCCCUUGUUACAUUAUCCAACUUGGUUUUUCUUAUCAAUAUUUUCUUCCUUUUUCUUUAUUUUACGCAUUUGUCUACACAUUG
rnacentral:sRNA from 1 species